UACGGGGGGGGCAAGCGUUGUUCGGAAUUACUGGGCGUAAAGGGCUCGUAGGCGGCCAACUAAGUCAGACGUGAAAUCCCUCGGCUUAACCGGGGAACUGCGUCUGAUACUGGAUGGCUAGAGAUUGGGAGAGGGAUGCGGAAUUCCAGGUGUAGCGGUGAAAUGCGUAGAUAUCUGGAGGAACACCGGUGGCGAAGGCGGCUCUCUGGGACGGUACUGACGCUGAGACGCGAAAGCGUGGGGAGCGAACAGG
rnacentral:rRNA from 1 species